rnacentral:rRNA from 1 species
UAAGGAAUAUUGCUCAAUGGGAGAAAUCCUGAAGCAGCAACGCCGCGUGGAGGAUGAAGGGUCUAUGACUUGUAAACUCCUGUAAAGAAGGAAAAAAUUCCCAUUUGAUGGGAGAUGAUGGUACUUCUGGAGUAAGCCCCGGCUAACUACGUGCCAGCGGCCGCGGUAAUACGUAGGGGGCAAGCGUUGUCCGGAUUUACUGGGUGUAAAGGGUGCUCAGGCGGAUUUGUAAGUCAGAGGUGAAAUCUUACAGCUUAACUGUGAAACUGCCUUUGAUACUGCAAGCCUAGAGUAUGGAAGAGAGUGAUGGAAUAUCUGGUGUAGCAGUGAAAUGCGUAGAUAUCAGAUAGAACACCAAUGGCGAAGGCAGUCACUUAGUCCAUUACUGACGCUAAAGCACGAAAGCGUGGGUAGCAAACA